rnacentral:rRNA from 1 species
AUGGGCACAAGCAUUCGCUUCAGCACAACUUUUCAUCCUCAAACUAGUGGCCAAGUCGAGCGAGUCAAUCAAAUUUUUGAAGAUAUGCUCAAGGCUUGUGUCAUUUCUUUCGGUAUGAAGUGGGAAGAUUGUCUUCCAUAUGCCGAGUUCUCCUACAACAACAGCUUCCAAGCGAGUUCGGGCAAGGCCCCAUUCGAGAUUCUAUAUGGCAGAAAGUGUCGUACUCCUCUUAACUGGUCAGAGACUGGUGAACGCCAACUUCUUGGCAAUGACUUGAUCAUAGAGGUUGAAGAAAUGUGCAAAGUCAUUCGCGAAAAUCUCAAAGCCGCGCAAUCGCGCCAGAAGAGUUACUAUGAUAGCAAGCAUCGUGACUUGGCUUUCGAGAUCGGAGACCAUGUCUACCUUCGGGUCUCUCUAAUGAAAGGCACUCGUCGCUUCGGUAUCAAAGGGAAGCUUGCCCGUAGAUACGUGGGUCCUUUCAAGAUCAUUGGUAAAAGUGGCGAUCUUGCCUAUCAACUUGAGCUUCCAUCCAAUUUUGCAAACGUGCACGACGUGUUUCACGUGUCUCAGCUUUGCAAGUGUUUCAAAACUCCUGACCGCACCAUCAACUUUGAAGAGAUUGAUCUCCAAGAAGACAUGUCUUAUCAUGAGCAUCCCGUUGCUAUUCUUGAAGAAACCGAGCACAAGACUCGCAACAAGUCUAUCAAAUUC